UGCCAGACAAGACUUGACUUUGUGCACAGUCUCACAGGCAACUGGUUUUGCAGACCCAGUGUCCUCUGGCCAAUUCAGAUUUAAACAUUUGGAGCCAUAUGCAAGUCACACCCAAUCUCUGAAACAUUUGUGAUCACAGAGCCUAAGCUGCCUUCUUUCAUGUGAGCUUGUGUGUGCUUUUGGCAAGUGGAGAGCUGGGAAGACAACAACCACCUACAGCUGGAGACCUGAGGGAAUUCUCAAGCUUGGUUUCUGGAAACAAAGGAGAAACAACCUUUGAAUCUUAGGAAUGUGGCUAAACCCAACAAAGUUAGAGGUAACAGAGAAGAGAAAUUAGGACUGAGAGUACCUGGUAAAGUGAAAUCCCAAGAGAUGUGACUGUUGCAGGAUGAAGAAGAGAGAUCUUCUGAGCUGUCUUCUGUACCCUUCUUCUACUGCAGGAACAAUUAGCUCUUCCUGUGCUCUGGAAAGCCUUCUGCAUGAGGACCAACACCCAACCAUUACAGAUCUCUGUAUGGCUGCAUUAAUUUUCUCUGGCAGGAUACUGGUUUAGGACUGAAUACCUGGUGGUCUGAGAGCCAGAGAUGACUUGCAGGAUGUCUUUGCUGACCUCCAGCCCUUUUGAAGGUUUCCUGAUGCACAUGCCCAAAUGUUGAUUCCAACAAGCUGCUAACGGCACACCCCUGUGAGCCCAGCAAGGCACAGAGCUUGCCAGAAACAAGAGGGAAUUGGUAGAGCCUUCUGCUAGGGGGGGAUGUCAGGGUUUGGAUUCUCCUGGUGGGAAAUCAUGCAGGGAGAGGGAGGAGAAGCAGCAAUAUCAAGAAACUGGUGCUGAAUCCAGAGCAAAUACCAAGCAUCCACAUUAGGCUCCCCUGUCUGGAUGGGAACGGGGAAGCCGAGUGCUGUAACCUCUGCGGCUCUUUUGCACCUUACUCAGCCAAGCUGAGCAGCAUUCCCAGCUGUGACACAUGGAUCAUUAUGGUACGUUGCCAUGGUUGAUUUCACAAUUAAAAACAAAUACAGCUUAUGCUGCAGUCGAUGUUAUAAAAAUAAGUGGAGCUACUUUGCAUAACAGCAUAAUUAGGGCCUAAUUGCCAGCUGGUCUGUUAAACCAUAAAUGAAAACAAACAGGGCUAUAAAUUAAAUUAUUAGAAUGAUAUUAUGGCUUGGGGAGAUAUUACAUCAUGAGAGCUUGUUUUGAGGAUCACACUGUAAACAGAGCAAACCCAAUCAGAGCAGAGGCUGAGCUGUCCCCUUCCCCAAUCAUCUUUCUCAUAACCCAGGGGAUCACUCAAACAAUUCGUCAUCAUCUUGUUUCCACUUGAGUUCAUCAGUGCAUCCUCUCCACAGGAGAACACCAUGAAGACAGAUACUAGUUGUCAGUAUCUGUCUGCAUGCAGCAGAUGAAAUCACAUGGAAAGACACAGACAUAGAAAAGGAAUAUAUAUUUUUGUAUCUUUAUGGAUUUCUUCAAGUGUGACUUAGGGCUGGGAGUGGCACUGAACCCAGAGUUUUCCUGGAAACUUUUCCUUAUGCUAAAACAAGAUCCAUCAUUAAAGCCUCUGCUAUUACUGUAAAUUCA